rnacentral:hammerhead_ribozyme from 1 species
AUCCAGCUGACGAGUCCCAAAUAGGACUAAACGCGCGUCCUGGAC